AUGGUUAUUUGGAUUAAUGGGAUUAAUUUAGCUAUUGAGUUGUCCAGAUACAGCAGUAAGAGUAGGAGCUUCAAGGCAGAAAAUCAGCUUUCCUUUCCAGCCUUGGCUCCGGACCCUGUAGUCGCUGGGAUGUUGAUGCCCAGGAAGAACCCAAUUGCCAUUUAUGAACUCCUUUUUAAGGAGGGAGUCAUGGUGGCCAAGAAAGAUGUCCACAUGCCUAAACAUGGAGAAUUGGCAGACAAGAACGUGCCCAACCUUCACGUCAUGAAGGCCAUGCAGUCUCUCAAGUCACGAGGCUACGUGAAGGAACAGUUUGCCUGGAGACAUUUCUACUGGUGCCUUACCAACGAGGAUAUCCGGUAUCUCCAUCAUUAUCUCCACUUGCCCCCUGAGAUCGUGCCUGCCACCUUGCGCCGCAGCCGCCCAGAGACGGGCAGACCUCCGCCGAAAGGUCUGGAAGGUGAGCGACCUGCAAGACUCACAAGAAGGGAAGCUGAGAGAGACACCUACAGGCGGAGUGCUGUGCCCCCAGGUGCUGCAAGAAAGCCUAGGCUGGGGCUGCGUCAGCAACCGAAUUCCAGUUUAGAGCCGGAUUUGGUCGUGGAUGUGGUCAGCCACUUCAGUAA